CUAUUUUUAUAUUGUUAUCUUGUGUUCAUUUUUUUCUUUAUAUCUACAAAUUUCUUCCCCACAUCUACAAAAACAGUUUUCAAACCAGCAGGACCAACUUCUUCAUCUACAUUCACAUCAUCCACAGCAGCAUAAGCUUCAGCCACAGACUCAUCAAUUUUCUUCUUCACAAGCUCAGUUUCAGCGACAGACUAAGCAACUUCCUUCUUCACAAGCUCAGUUUCAGCGACAGACUCAGCAACUUCCUUCUUCACAAGUUCAGUUUCAACGACAUACUCAGCAACUUUUUUCUUCACAGGCUCAGUUUCAGCACAGACUUAGACACUUUUAGAACAAUAUUCUGAAAUUUUGGCACAAAGUUUACAGAUGUGAACUUGGUAACAAUUCUUCUUCCAGACAAUGUUGGUUUCAUGAAUCCGGAGCAAGAAAGAGGUAAACCAAAAGAAGCCAUAAUGAAACGAAGAAGCAGUAGCAAGAGUAGAAAAGAAGCAGUAGCAAGAGUAGAGAAGAAGAUAAAAUGAUGAAUGAGAUAUAUAGUGGUGAACAUUAUAUCUCUAUCUCUACGAGAAACACAUAUAGAUAUCAAAACUGUAUCUAUAUUCUCUAAGCUACGAAAAGAAUUACCUGCAAAUUAGAGAAAAUCUCGAUCAGUCAACGGUUCUGUUGUGUUCAAUAUAUAUUUUUUUUUUUGAUGUAUACUAGAUAUUGACUGGUAACAUGAGAACUAAGAAGAUGAAUUUUUUUUAGGGAUAUAACAGGCAAUGAGUGCUAAGAAUCGAUAUGUUUUAUGUUUAGUCGAGACUUAAGUUUGAAAAAUACAGUAAGAAUAAAACUAUGGUAUUUUAGAAAAGACGAAUAUUCUAAAUUACUUGAAACUAGGUGGAAUUGAAUCUUUCAGAAUCUAGUUUUUGUGGGUAAACAAAUCUAAGUCAAUUCUUAAUUUUUAUUUAAGAUCUACUUUUUGUUUUUUAGUAUAUAAAGGAAUUUGUGAUUUAGGUCGGGAUAUGAGCCUUUGAGAGGCGAUUUUUAGGUCCAGCCGCCCAAAAUUUUUUCUUCUCUUAACUUUGUUGUUCCCUCUCCGAUUUACCGGUACCCUUGGCCGGAGUCGUGAGAUGUUGUUUCCGAUUGUCUUUUCUCUUUUUUUUUUCUUUGGUUCGAGCCUUCUCUAGCUUCUCUUAUGGCGGAUCUAAAGACGAGAUCUAGAUGGUUGUGCUUCGAUAGGGUUGUUUCCGUUUCUCGGUGACGAGAUCUAGAUGGUUGUGCUUCGAUAGGGUUGUUUCCGUUUCUCGGUGACGAGAUCUAGAUGGUUGUGCUCAAGCUGAAUCUCAAGGUUUUCCUCCUUGUUCCUAGCCUGUAUCAUUAUCUUCAUCUGCUUUAGUGUGGCCUGGCUCAAGUGGUUCAUGUUUCCUUGGUCAUGUUUAGUGCAUUGGUCGUAGACUUCUCUUAGUGAGCUAUUUUUAAAGGUUGUAUCUUUGUUGUUUGUUGCUUCCCUGUAUUUUAGGGCUAUGUCUCCGUUGUUUGAGCUAUGUUUCUCCUUUGUUUGGGCUAUAUCACCCUUGUUUGGACUAUGUCUCCUUUUUGGGUUUGUGACUACGAUACUAUCCCGUUUUUGAUAGCGGGUUUUAGUAUCCGUCUUUGUAUGAACUUGAAUGAAAUAAAAUGAGACUAUUGUGACAAAAAA
rnacentral:sRNA from 1 species